rnacentral:misc_RNA from 1 species
CUCUGCCUGGUGGUAGCUCAGCA